GGCAAGAUGGCCGAGCGGUUAAGGCGUGUGACUCAAGCUUAUGCUUGCCUACUUCAAGUGGGUUUAAAGUCUUCUCAUAGGAGGUUUCCUGCGAGGGUUCGAGUCCCUCUCUUGUCA